rnacentral:rRNA from 1 species
CAGUCGCCGCGGUAAUACGGAGGAUCCGAGCGUUAUCCGGAAUCAUUGGGUUUAAAGGGUCCGUAGGCGGUUUAGUAAGUCAGUGGUGAAAGCCCAUCGCUCAACGGUGGAACGGCCAUUGAUACUGCUGAACUUGAAUUAUUAGGAAGUAACUAGAAUAUGUAGUGUAGCGGUGAAAUGCUUAGAGAUUACAUGGAAUACCAAUUGCGAAGGCAGGUUACUACUAAUUGAUUGACGCUGAGGAGCGAAAGCGUGGGGAGCGAACAGGAUUAGAUACCCCGGUAGUCCCUGUCUCUUAUAC